ACUAGAUGGACCCGCUUAUCCUUUCUUUUUCUAUUUUCAAUAAUUAAUUUUUGGUAUAAAUAAAUCCAUAGAUACUUGGUAGAUUACAAGGACAAUAUAUAUGUAACAAAAGCAAAUUUUAUAGAACAGUAACAAAACUCUUAACUGGUAUUAAGAAUUGGCGCGCUAUAGCAACAAUCAAAAUACCACUAUUACAAUAGAAAUUGCAUAGAGUAGAGAGUAACUAAGGGUAGAUGAAAGAAGGGGGUGAGAGAUCAGAAGAAAGAGAUGAGAAAAUCAGAAUCCACUAUCCUUCUAACAAAUUUUGCCUUUUUACUCACGUACCCUUCCUCUUUUCCAAACGUAAUUCCCAAGUUUAGCGGGAGGAAUCACUCUUCUAGCACCCUUACGUGGCAUACCCAUGUGCUCUUCUUUUGUGGCAUCCUCCCCGUCAUCUUUGUUAUCUACCAGCAUGUUUGUAUUCACAACAAUACCCCCUCUCUGCAAAGCACCCUUGUCCUCAAGGUUGGAUCUGCAAAAUCAGUCAAUUGUAGCGGAGUAACUUGUUGGUCUGGAUUCCCAACACAUCGCUUGAGCAUAGAGACAUGAAAUACAGGGUGAAUCUAUGCAGCCUCCGGAAGUGCCAACUUAUAAGCUACUGAGCCAACCCUCUUGAUGACCUGGAAGGGACCAAAGUAACGUCUACCGUGUUUGUGAUCCAUUUGCAAACGAAGAGAAACUUGCCUAUAGGGCUUUAAUUUGACAUAAACCCAGUCUCCAAUCUCAAAGACAGCCUCAGUACUGGACUUGUCAGCGAAAGUCUUCAUGCGUGUUUGUGCCUUGGUCAAGUUUGCUUGAGCAAUUGCAACACUUCAUCUCGUUGGAGCAAAUAUGAUUCCACGAGCUAGCUAGCAGUGCUGCCCAUUAAGUAGCAAGCAAUAGUCGGGGGUUCAUGACCAUAAAAAGCUUGAAUCGGGGUCAUCCCUGCUGAUGUUUGGUAGGAUGUAUUGUACUAAUAUUCAGCCCAAGGUAGCAUGGAGACCCACUUCGAAGGCACAUCCGCAACAUAGCAUCGGAGAUACUGCUCUACACAUUUGUUAAGAGCUUCAGACUGCCCAUCCGAUUGUGGAUGAUAGGCAGUACUCCUAGCUAGAGUACAUCCUUGUAAGCGGUUAAUUUCUUGCCAAAAGGAGUGUAAGAACCUGGGGUUCCGGUUAGGAACCACAGUCCAUGGGGGACCAUGAAGCCAAAUUACUCCAACCGUAAAAGCUUCCGCCAACACUUGAGUAGAGAAUUGUAACACUCCAUAAAUUUGAAUUAGCUAUGAAUGUGUUAAAUGAGUAUUCACGUGACAUAUUAGUUGUAAGAAGUCCUAUCAAGGUGAAUUUGGGUGAAAAUAGUCGUUUCGGAAACAAGAGUAAGGUUUGAUUAAAAACAAAUCGUCUAAGCCUGGGUAGUCCUGAUUUUCUGCCUAAUUACAUGAAAAUCUGUUGAGAAUUUGAGAAAACUCAAAACAUGAAAAUUGUAGAUCUUUGAAAUACCUUUCCAACCAUAUAUGUUGAAGCUCAGUCAGAGCUUUGUGCUAGGAGUUAUGCCCGUUUUACUGGACACUACGUAGUCUGCGCGAUCAGGCUUUAGGUGCGCGAUCACGCACCGGAGGCCAUGUAACUGCCUUUACUGUGCGAUCAACUAUGUGGCUACACACCAAUAAUGACUCUUUAAAAGCCUAGCGUCGUUAUAACUUUUCCCCACUUCGUUUUGGCCGACUUUUUGGAGGAAAAGAACCCUAAGGACCUCUCUCAAACUCUAAGAUUCUUGAAAAUCGAAGAAGGAGAAAUUGAAAGAGACUUUGAGAAUCCUCUUGAAGGUUUGUUAUUUGAUCUUUACUGAUGUUAUUGAGAGGAUUUAUACUAGUGUAGUGUAUUAGAAACAUGGUAAUCCAUGGGUGAUUAAUAGGGGAUUCAAGAACACGUUUUUGGACACAAAAGCCCUAAUUUUUCAAUAAGGGUGGGAACUAUUAGAAGUUGGUUAAAGUUCUGAACUUUAUGAUUAAUAACCAUUGCAGAACGAAUUUUGAACUUGGAGGAAUUCGCUUAAGCAGGAAUUGAGGUAUGUCUAUUUUCAAAAUCUUCUUUUUAAGUAUGUCUACUUUCUUUUGAAAACGUAUUUAGGUGUAUGACCAUUUUCGAAAUCUUUGAGAAUCCUACUUGUUUGUACAAGUUUCAACACUAGUUUGGUGGUAGAUCUUUGUUGAACUUAUUUUCUAAUUAAAGGUGAUAUUUGAACAAGGUCAUGCGCGUGUAAGGUCAAGCCCGCAUCGAACCUUAUACGAAUUAUAAUAUUGUGAUGGGAUCUUUGUUGAGCUUAUUUUGUAAGAUUGAUGCUCUAAACGUGUUUUGCCUUUGAAUGGAGUUUCUUGAACUUGAAAUUGAAUAAGUGACUUGAAUAAGGUUUCUAAAUGGGUACAGGCUUGAAAUACCUCUAUUGCGAAAAAGAUGACUUGAGAAGUGAAUUUGGCUAUAAGCCAUGAUUGAUGAUUCAACCAAUAUUCAAUGACUUGUAUUUGUUUGUUUUGGGCCUGUAUGGGCAAGUUUUGCUAGUUCAGAGGACGAUUAGCCAUUAUGGAUCCUAACAUAUCGCUUUUGAGCAUUGUUGUGUCAGUAUAGAGGAAAAUUGACCUCCGUAGCGUAUAGCUCAGUGUAUCUAUUGUUGUGUCAGUCCAGUGGAUGAUUGAUCUCCAUGGGGUGUAGCCGGUGUAUCUAUUGUUGUGUCAGUCCAUACGACGAUUAACCUCUGUGGCGUGUAGCCCAGUGCAUCUGUUGCUAUGUUAGUCCAGAGGACGAUUAGCCUUCGUGGGCUAAUAGCCCCGGUGAAUCGAAUGGUUGUUCAUCUGUGAGUUUUCAUAUGUUGAUCGUUUGGUUGCCUGUGAGUGGCUGUGGUGAUCUUGAGUUCGUAAGUGAAAGACUUGAUAUGGUAAAUGGUAUGAUAAGUGGAAAAUGAUAUAUUCUUGUGUCUUUGGCGUUUACUGGUGAUUUUGCUAAGUUUACUGGUUUACUCUAUCUCUAGGUUUUUGAACUGUUUUCAUUGACAUGUUAACUAUUACCUUUUAGACACUCACUGAGUACCCACUACUCUAGCAUACCAUUGUUGUUUUUUAUGGUAUGUUAGGUAACAAAGAACAGCAGGUUCGUGAUACGCAUACAGAGUAGGAGAACUUGUUGCUUUCCAGACUUGUUGGUGAGCCCACAUACUUAUUCGUGGGACACUCCUCUAUCUUAAUUUAUUACUUUAAGCUUCCAGGCUGCGUCCCGAACUUAGUCUAUUUAUUUAUUUAUUUAUUUAUUUAUCUUAGAAGCUCUAUAGAUAUUAGUCAAAAUUGUGGUAGAUUGUUGAAGUCUCAUAUGACUUGUUAGGGCGUUUGUCAUGUUUAUAAUUGAUUGUUCAUAUUAAUCAUCCACUGAUUUUUGUAAGUAUAAGUAUGCUUUUGGUUAGCCGUACAUGACUAUUUUAAAUAAAAUGUCAAAAAAUUAUCAAAAGAGAUUAGGCGUUUAUUGAUUUCAUAAGGUGCUUCCGGUAUUGUUCACAACAUCGUAUGCAUGUUGCGUCCAGGGUGGGUUUUGGGGCUUGACAAGCUUGGUAUCCGAGCUCUAGGUUUAUAUGUGUCCUAAGAUUGUUUGUGGAGCUGUGUCUAGUGGAUUCUUCUUCAUGCAUACUGGCCAUUUGUAUAGAUGUAUGGCUACAAGUACAUUAUAGGUGUUUCUUAGUAUUCCUGAUUCUAUAUUGUGCUGUAGAGCUUGCACUUCUCUUUAGGAUCAUUUUGACAUAUUCGAUAAUUUGUGCCUCAUGGAAGUGGCUUUAACGCUUACGACAGCAACUAACCAAGGAAGCAAUGGUGCUUCUGGUUUGUCAUCUGGAGGACGACCCGCCAGGAUCACUAACCGUACCGCUACUGAGACUAUUAAUGGAGUUGAGAACAACAAUGGAGACCAAGCACCACCUAGUCCAGCUGCCCCUGCUGCAGGCGUGGCUGAUAUUGGGUAGAUGCAGAAUGCAAUCCAGAUGAUUACCACCCUUGUCUCAGCCCAACAUCAACGUGCGGGUGUGAAUCCGACACUUGUUGGUAGAGGAAGACUUAAGCACUUCUUGGGGCUGAAUCCGCCCAAGUUUUUUGGUUCGCGAGAAGAAGAUGAUCUCCCGUACUUUAUUGAUGAGACUUUCAAAGCUUUAAGGGAAAUGAAUGCCCAAAGUUCUGAAGCUGUGAAAUUCGCAGCAUACUAGUUGAAAGAUGUUGCUCAUGUAAUGCAAGAAAAUAAAGACAAUAUUGAAAAGAAGAAAUAAUUGAUAAUCAA